GACGAUCGCUGGCGGCGUGCUUAACACAUGCAAGUCGAACGAAGUGGCGAACGGGUGAGUAACGCGUAAUCAACCUGCCCUUCCGAGGGGGACAACAGUUGGAAACGACUGCUAAUACCGCAUACUGGAGGAGGGGCUUGCCGCUGAUUAGCUAGUUGGAGGGGUACCGGCCCACCAAGGCGAUGAUCAGUAGCCGGUCUGAGAGAAUGAACGGCCACAUUGGGACUGAGACACGGCCCAGACUCCUACGGGAGGCAGCAGUGGGGAAUCUUCCGCAAUGGACGAAAGUCUGACGAAGCAACGCCGCGUGAGUGAUGACGGCCUUCGGGUUGUAAAGCUCUGUUAAUCGGGACGCGGUACCGGAAUAGAAAGCCACGGCUAACUACGUGCCAGCAGCCGCGGUAAUAC
rnacentral:rRNA from 1 species